UUAAAUUGAAGAGUUUGAUCAUGGCUCAGAUUGAACGCUGGCGGCAGGCCUAACACAUGCAAGUCGAACGGUAACAGGAAGAAGCUUGCUUCUUUGCUGACGAGUGGCGGACGGGUGAGUAAUGUCUGGGAAACUGCCUGAUGGAGGGGGAUAACUACUGGAAACGGUAGCUAAUAC
rnacentral:rRNA from 1 species